rnacentral:rRNA from 1 species
CCUACGGGUGGCAGCAGUCGAGAAUCAUUCACAAUGGGGGAAACCCUGAUGGUGCGACGCCGCGUGGGUGAAUGAAGGUCUUCGGAUUGUAAACCCCUGUCAUGUGGGAGCAGAUUAAAAAGAUAGUACCACAAGAGGAAGAGACGGCUAACUCUGUGCCAGCAGCCGCGGUAAUACAGAGGUCUCAAGCGUUGGUCGGAAUCACUGGGCGUAAAGCGUGCGUAGGCUGUUUCGUAAGUCGUGUGUGAAAGGCGCGGGCUCAACCCGGGGACUGCAAAUGAUACUGGGAGACGAGUGUAACGGAGGGGGAACUAGAAUUCUGGGUGUAGCAGUGAAAUGCGUAGAGAUCGAGAGGAACACUCGUGGCGAAGGCGGGUUCCUGGACAUUAACUGACGCUGAGGUACGAAGGCGAGGGGAGCGAAAGGGAUUAGAUACCCGAGUAGUC